UACGUAGGGUGCAAGCGGUAAUCGGAAUUACUGGGCGUAAAGCGUGCGCAGGCGGUUUUGUAAGACAGGCGUGAAAUCCCCGGGCUCAACCUGGGAAUUGCGCUUGUGACUGCAAGGCUGGAGUGCGGCAGAGGGGGAUGGAAUUCCGCGUGUAGCAGUGAAAUGCGUAGAUAUGCGGAGGAACACCGAUGGCGAAGGCAAUCCCCUGGGCCUGCACUGACGCUCAUGCACGAAAGCGUGGGGAGCAAACAGG
rnacentral:rRNA from 1 species